rnacentral:lncRNA from 1 species
GAGUUUCAGGUGAAAACGGUGAAAUUUUGUUCAUGUUUUCUUCAUAAACGAUGUAUUCCGCAAGCUGAUUGCAAGGAAAGACCAUCAGCUGCUCUCAUACUUCAGUUCAUGAACUUCACCGUCAUGGUACACAUCUCUAUUACUCCAAUAUCUACCACAUCUUAAAUAAAAAUUGAAAUUGUAAGGAAAAAAUCAGUCGAUGUUCUCUUAUAGAGAUCUGAAAUGACGGAUUGUCAUGGAAUCGCCUUAAGCCAUCGGUUUUCACAUAAUGAGUCUAAAUUUGACUUGAAAAACCCUGAUCGAGAUUUAAAAUGACAGUAAAAAUAAAAACAAGCCAUUUUCAAUAAUUAAAACGCUUAGUUUGUUUUUAAUUAAAUAUUUAAAUUAAUAAUAUGUUAACAUUUUUCAAUAAUUCUUUUAGUUUUUCCCCCAAAAAUAUUUUCUAGGGUUUCCGGUUUCAGGGUUUCUUUCAUUCUUCCCUUCUCUUCUGUAUCUCCUUGAAUUUUCCUUGGUUUCUUCUCUUAUAUUAAUUUCGUGGUUUAAAGGUUCAUGGUUAGUAAGAUUUUGGGCUUCCGGCUUAUUUUCAAUUUGUUUGUAUGUAAUUUUAAUUAAAAAUAGAUUUUGAUCCACGCGUCCGUGUGGGUAUAUUUUUCAAAAAUAUGUUUCUAUUUGUUUUUCAUGUCAAUAAUAUAAGGGCUAUAUAAAAUACCCGAAUCUGAACAACCGAACCGAUUUCGAUCCGAAAAAUAGUACAAAACCCAAAUCGAAAUUGAUUAAAUAUCCGGCGCGCGGAUAUAUUUUUUAAAAAUAUGUUUCUAUUUGCUUUUCAUGUCAAUAAUAUAAGGGCUAGACAAAAUCCCGAAUCUGAAGAACCGAACCGAUCUCUGUCCGAAAAAGUAGUACCAAACCCAAACCAAAAUUGAUUAAAUAUCCGAAUUAUUUGAAAUUUUAGAAAAUGGAAACCGAAUCCGAUCCGAACCGAAGUAUUCCGGGUACCCUAAUGUAUCCAAAAUAGAUUUAUAAACUUAUAUAUAUAUUAAUUAUUUUUAUAUUUAAUAUAUAUAACAACAUCUAAAAUAUAUAUGAUACUUUUAAACUGGUUUAAAUACCUGAAAAUAUAUACAAAUAAUCAAUAGAAAAUAUAUAAAAUUGUAAAAGUAUACUUAAAACAUCAAAAAUACUUAAAAUAAUUAUUGAUUCUCUAUCCAAAUAUUUGAACUAAAAUAAUUUAUAUGUUAAGUUUAUGUAUUCUGACAUAUGUUUCUAAACAACAAUCUAUGUUUCCAAACAAAUUUUUUUUGAAAAAUUGCUAUAUAUGUUUCCAAACAAACUUAAUUUUUACUUGAGUUUUAAUAAGAUAGACUAUAGCUUGACCCGCGCGUCCGCGAUAGUAUUGUUUUUUUUUUAUAAAUUAAUAUUUAUUUUUCAUGAUUAGUGUUAUAUAUGUUAGAUGUGUCGCUAUAUAAUUAAUUUUAUUCAAAAGAUCAGAUUGAAUCGAAUAAUAUAGUUAUUUUUUGGUACAAAUAUUUUGAAUCCGUUUUAGAUAUAUUAGUUAUUUUGAUAUUUUUAGUUUUAUAUACAUCAGAACCGAACCCCUACUCGGGACUUAAUUAACCUUAGUUCAGUUUCAAAGCAGCAAUGUCUCUUUUAAUUUAAAAUGACAGUAAAAACAAAAAAAAACAAGCCAUUUUCACCAAUUAAACCACUUAAUUUGGAUUUUCGUUUAAUAUUUAAUAUGUGCUAACAUUUUCCAUGUUUUCUACAAAAAAUCUAUGUCAUCGAUUCACAAUGUCUUAUAUUUGGGUUCGGUUUGACUGCUACUUCAGAAAUUGACAUGUGGGUUAUCCAUAUUACGGAUGAUUAAAUGCUUGCAAACAAAAAUUAUAUUUUAUACGUAUCAAUCUUAUACGUUCCAACGUGGUAGAAAGUUGAAGAGAGUUUGCCUUUUUUAUAAAAUCCCUCUAUAAAUUAAAUGAGAAGUCACUUUAGUGAUUUCUGCUGACAUGGCAUUCAUAUAGAGUUUCUCAGGAAAAUUGUUAUAAUUAUAUUGGUUGAUUUUUUAGAAUUUUUUUUUUCUUUAUUUUUAAUCAAUCGCUUAUGUAGACAGGUCCAAAACUAUUGUCGAUUUCGUUAAGCCCAUAUAUAGCUAUGGGGAUAAUAAUUAAAAUUUACUUAAUUUAGAUCUAAAAAUUUAAGGUAAGUCUAAAAUCAUUUAACAUCACUUGCCUUAUAAUCUGAAAAAUAUUACAAAUAAUAAUUUAUGGAAACUAAUUCUCGAAAUUAUAGAAAGAUUAAUAAUGAUUUAUUUAUUACUUUCAAUAUUUAUAAACUAUAAAAUAUAAUGAACAAAAUUUUAUAUAAGAUAAUUAUAAUAGUUUUAUACUCUACUUGAUGAAUUGUAUUCGAAUAUAAUUAUAUAAUAAUAUUUUAAAUAUAACAAAAUCCAAACAUGUUUAAAAUAACUUAUGAAUAGUUUAAAUGUAAGUUACCUUAUUUAUUUUGCAAAGUAACUUAUGAAUAAUUUUUUUUUCUUGCGCAAGUUGCAAAGUAACUUAUGAAUAGUUUAAAUGUAAGUUACCUUAUUUAUUUUAAAUAUUUAUUGCCCAAGUUAUUAUCACAUUUAUUAAAAUGUUAAAUGCCAAUUUACCUUAAUGUUUCUAAAUUCUUAAUUCGUUUGUAAUGACUUACCUUAUUGCAAUAUAAAAUCCCCGGUGAAAUAGUUAAUAGGGGGAUAACUUUCUUUAAUCUAUGUCAAUAUUUAUUGUGAAAAAUAAAUAUAGCAACAUCAUUUAUUUUUAAAAGAUCGACAAUAUAAAGUUGCCUUAUUGAGAAUAAGCAUUUCUUGCGCAAGUUAGUAUCACAUUAAUUCGACUUUUAAAACUUUUUAAAUUGUUAAUUCAUUUUUAAUGACUUACCUUAUUUUAAAUAUGCAUUACUUGUGCAAGUUCUUAUAUAUUAAAUGCAAACUAGCUUAUGACAAUGUAGAGUUAAUAUCUUUCUUUAAUCUAUUUCAAUAUUUAUUGCAAAAAAUAAAUAUUCAAACAUCAUUUAUUAUGAAAAGUCGACUAUAUAUAAAGAUACUCUCAAGGUCUUACAUACAAUACAAUACAGUGUUGUGAAGAUAUCAAAUUUUUAAAAACAGUGUGGCAAUGGUUCAAGCUCCCAAAAACCGAGUGUCUUUUUUCAGGCAAUUAAAACCAUGUAAAGAUACAUGGCGUAUUGAGGUUAGAAUUCUUCGCUUGUGGAGAAAUUACAACAAAGAUUCCGGAAACACCAUCGAAAUGGUUUUUGUUGAUAAAGAAGUAGAUUACUAUAUUUUUUUACAACUCAUAGUCGUCUUUAGUCUUUUGUUUUCAAUCCAACUCAUAUAACUUUAUCUCAUCUUCGUGUAGGGGACGAAAAUUCAUGCUUCAGUUGGUGAACAGCUCAUCAAACAAUUUGAAGGGAAACUAACCGAGGGCAAUGCGAAGGUCGUCCAGUUAUUCACCUAAAAUAAAGAAUUACAACACAUAUACAAUACAAUUCUAAUUAAUCAUAAUAUAAAAUCUGUUAGUUCUAAAACUAUACACUAUUUAUUCCAUAUUUUGAAAGAGAAGUCACUUUAGUGAUUUCUGGUGACGUGUCGCUCAUAGGUGAAGUUUCA